rnacentral:rRNA from 1 species
AUGGAUAUUAGGGCUAGCAGAUAUGCCCAUAAGCUGUUCAGUAUCCAGCAGAAUGCCUUUAUUAAAGGGAGGCAUAUUGUGGAUGGUAUUCUAUCUUUGCAUGAGAUUAUGCACUAUACUCAUGUCAAAAAACAAGUUGGAGUAGUUCUCAAGCUCGAUUUCGAGAAAGCCUAUGACAAAGUAAACUGGGAUUUUUUGCUUGACUGUCAUGAAAAGCGCGGGUUUAAUCCCAAGUGGCGUGGCUGGGUCUCUCAGAUCCUAAAAAAUGGCACGGUUAGUGUCAAGAUCAAUGAUGAGGUGGGGCCCUAUAUUCAAAGUGCUAAGGGAGUGAGACAGGGGGAUCCUCACUCUCCCUUCUUGUUCAAUUUAGCAGCUGAAUGCCUGACUAAAAUGGUGCUGGCAGCUCAGAAGAAUGGCCUUGUCAAAGGUUUAGCUGCUGAUCUUAUUGAGGAUGGGGUGGGCAUCUUGCAAUAUGCUGAUGAUACGGUGUUGUGCUUUGAACAUGAUGUUGACAAAGCUGUCAACAUCAAACUCUUGUUGUAUCUCUUUGAGCUUAUGUCAGGACUUAAGAUCAACUUUGAAAAGAGCGAAAUUUUCAGUAUUGGGGGUGAUAAUGAUACUGACUUAGUUUAUGUGAACAUGUUUGGAUGCCAAGUGGGGACUCUGCCUAUGAAAUAUCUGGGGGUACCUGUUACCUAUUCCACUCUCAGGAAUGUUGAUCUGGAUUUCCUUGAGGGUAAAAUGAUCAAAAAACUUGAUGCCUGGGUGGCUUACGCGGCAUCAUCUGGGGGCAGACUGACUUUAUUAGGGUCCAGUUUGGAUGGAAUCCCGUCCUUCCUCAUGUCGAUGUUCCUCUUCAAUAAAACUUUUAUUGAGAAGCUGGAUAAACAUCGCAGACGUUUCAUUUGGAGGAGAAAGAAUAAGAAACAUGGUUAUCAUAUGGUUAAAUGGACGAGAGUUUGCAGAUCUAGGAGGACUGGGGGUUUAGGGAUUAAAGAUCUUCAUAAACAAAAUAUUGCCCUGCUCGUUAAGUGGUGGUGGAAACUGGAAACGAGUGAUGGUUUAUGGCAACGUAUUGUUCGAGCUAGAUACUUCAGGAACAAAACAGUAGCUAACAUCCGGAGUCGCUUUUUGGACUCCCCCUGCUGGAAAGCCAUUAUGAAAGUCAAGGAUUCAUAUAUGGCUGGUAGAAAGGUUAACAUUGAGAGCGGGAACCUUACUAGGGUCUGGUAUGACCCGUGGAUCGAAAACAUUGUACUGAAAGAUCAUUUUCCUGAUUUGUUCAGUGUCUGCCAGGAUCAGGAUUGCACUGUUGCAUCCUGGGCUGCGAGUAACUAUGAGAUUGGCUUCAGACGCAGAUUGGUUGGGGCGUUGGGUGAUCAAUGGGCUUGGAUGGUCAUGGAAGCUAAAAAGCUGACGUUGAAUGAAUCCCCAAAUAAGAUUUCUUGGACCCUUGGUGGUAAAGGCAAAUUUACCACUAAAUCCUUGUACGAGUGGCUGGAGAGAAACCUGUCAAGUCCUAACUAUAAAAUGGUGUGGGAAGCACCUAUCCCGCUGAAGAUUAAGAUCUUCCUUUGGCAAUUAUUUCAAAAUGCCGUCCUUACCCGUGAUAACAUGCGUGCCAGGAAUUGGCCUGGAAAUCCCAUUUGUUCCUUCUGUACUAAUGUUGAAACGGCAAACCAUUUGUUUUUUUCGUUCUCGCUCGCUCGUUCAGUUUGGGGGACGCUGGGCAUGACGGCAGGGGCAUCUUGCUGCCCUCGCUCCCUUUGGCAAAGUUUGCUG